UACAGAGGUCCCAAGCGUUGUUCGGAUUCACUGGGCGUAAAGGGUGCGUAGGUGGUCGGGUAAGUUUGAUGUGAAAUCUCCGGGCUCAACCCGGAAACUGCAUUGAAUACUAUUCGGCUAGAGGAGUGGAGGGGGGACUGGAAUACUUGGUGUAGCAGUGAAAUGCGUAGAUAUCAAGUGGAACACCAGUGGCGAAGGCGAGUCCCUGGACACUUCCUGACACUGAGGCACGAAAGCUAGGGGAGCAAACAGG
rnacentral:rRNA from 1 species